CCCUUAGACGUUCUGGGCCGCACGCGCGCUACACUGACGGAGCCAGCGAGUAUAAACCUUGGCCGAGAGGUCUGGGAAAUCUUGUGAAACUCCGUCGUGCUGGGGAUAGAGCAUUUUAAUUAUUGCUCUUCAACGAGGAAUUCCUAGUAAGCGCAAGUCAUCAGCUUGCGUUGAUUACGUCCCUGCCCUUUGUACACACCGCCCGUCGCUACUACCGAUUGAAUGGCUUAGUGAGGCUUCCGGAUUGGUUUAGAGAAGGGGGCAACUCCAUCUUGGAACCGAGAAGCUAGUCAAACUUGGUCAUUUAGAGGAAGUAAAAGUCGUAACA
rnacentral:rRNA from 1 species